CUUUUUGUGUAAAUAAAUGUCAAUAAAGUUUAGUUUAACUUGCGCGGGAUUUCUGUUAUCGUAUUUUGGGGAAUCUCUCUUUAAAGUAAUUACUCGUGAUGUAUUGAUGUUGUUGUUACCUCAUAUUUAUUUGAUGUUGUUCGAUGAUUCGUCUUUAAAUUUUUUUUUGCACGCUUUUAUUAUUUCAAGUUGCAGAAAUAACAAAUAUAUCUUUAUUUUUUUUCUUUUCUAAUAUACAUAUUCCAGUACAUUGCGUAUAGGAAUUUAGCUCCGCCUACAAUUCUGCCAUAAUAUUUAAAUUUUUCGCUGGGUCGCACACAAAGGUCACCGUGCGAGUCACUUGAACAGCGGUGGAUUUACAUCUUUUUCCCGGAAACAGGAACAGAACGGUACGGCAAAUUGGUUAAAAAAACGGUGAAGCUAUGAAGGCAGACAGGAGAAUGGCCACUGUAACGUCAGCGAAAUGCUAGCGAAAUCCUACAUAAAAAUAUACGAUGUCAUAAAAGUGUGUUCCCACUUUGCGAAGUAUUUCUAAUCAAUAGCCACGGAAACUCUAACCCUAACGAAAUUUUAGACCUAAUUUGUUCAGUCCAAUUAAGUUAUUUUCUAUUCAUAAAUUUCAUAAUGAAACACUUUUUAUGACAUCGUAUUUUUGAGCAGCAGGAUUUCGCUAGCGUGACAGAUGUGUAGAAUGAGCCGAACAGAAGUAAGUGACAUCAAGAAGAAAUAAUCAUAAUAAUCAUAAUCAUAAAUCUGUUAUGCUGUGAAAUUAGACAAAUUUAAUAGUGCAAAACCCCAUAACUGUGAUUAUUGAAAGCUCAGACAUGCAGGGAGAUGUGUCUGUUCCGAUGUAGGUAUUGGCAUGCAUUGGGGCAGUGUCAU